ACGCACGCUGGCGGCGUGCUUAACACAUGCAAGUCGAACGGAAAGGCCCUGCUUUUGUGGGGUGCUCGAGUGGCGAACGGGUGAGUAACACGUGAGUAACCUGCCCUUGACUUUGGGAUAACUUCAGGAAACUGGGGCUAAUACCGGAUAGGAGCUCCUGCUGCAUGGUGGGGGUUGGAAAGUUUCGGCGGUUGGGGAUGGACUCGCGGCUUAUCAGCUUGUUGGUGGGGUAGUGGCUUACCAAGGCUUUGACGGGUAGCCGGCCUGAGAGGGUGACCGGCCACAUUGGGACUGAGAUACGGCCCAGACUCCUACGGGAGGCAGCAGUGGGGAAUAUUGCACAAUGGGCGGAAGCCUGAUGCAGCAACGCCGCGUGCGGGAUGACGGCCUUCGGGUUGUAAACCGCUUUCGCCUGUGACGAAGCGUGAGUGACGGUAAUGGGUAAAGAAGCACCGGCUAACUACG
rnacentral:rRNA from 1 species